GAUGAACGCUGGCGGCGUGCCUAAUACAUGCAAGUCGAGCGAACAGACGAGGAGCUUGCUCCUCUGACGUUAGCGGCGGACGGGUGAGUAACACGUGGAUAACCUACCUAUAAGACUGGGAUAACUUCGGGAAACCGGAGCUAAUACCGGAUAAUAUAUUGAGCCGCAUGGUUCAAUAGUGGAAGACGGUUUUGCUGUCACUUAUAGAUGGAUCCGCGCCGCAUUAGCUAGUUGGUAAGGUAACGGCUUACCAAGGCAACGAUGCGUAGCCGACCUGAGAGGGUGAUCGGCCACACUGGAACUGAGACACGGUCCAGACUCCUACGGGAGGCAGCAGUAGGGAAUCUUCCGCAAUGGGCGAAAGCCUGACGGAGCAACGCCGCGUGAGUGAUGAAGGUCUUCGGAUCGUAAAACUCUGUUAUUAGGGAAGAACAAAUGUGUAAGUAACUAUGCACGUCUUGACGGUACCUAAUCAGAAAGCCACGGCUAACUGCGUG
rnacentral:rRNA from 1 species